rnacentral:rRNA from 1 species
GAAAGUGCAAGGCUCAACCUUGGAUCUGCGGUGGGUACGGGCAGACUAGAGUGAUGUAGGGGAGACUGGAAUUCCUGGUGUAGCGGUGAAAUGCGCAGAUAUCAGGAGGAACACCGAUGGCGAAGGCAGGUCUCUGGGCAUUUACUGACGCUGAGGAGCGAAAGCAUGGGGAGCGAACAGGAUUAGAUACCCUGGUAGUCCAUGCCGUAAACGUUGGGCACUAGGUGUGGGGGACAUUCCACGUUUUCCGCGCCGUAGCUAACGCAUUAAGUGCCCCGCCUGGGGAGUACGGCCGCAAGGCUAAAACUCAAAGGAAUUGACGGGGGCCCGCACAAGCGGCGGAGCAUGCGGAUUAAUUCGAUGCAACGCGAAGAACCUUACCAAGGCUUGACAUGUGCCAGACCGCCUCAGAGAUGGGGUUUCCCUUCGGGGCUGGUUCACAGGUGGUGCAUGGUUGUCGUCAGCUCGUGUCGUGAGAUGUUGGGUUAAGUCCCGCAACGAGCGCAACCCUCGUUCCAUGUUGCCAGCACGUAAUGGUGGGGACUCAUGGGAGACUGCCGGGGUCAACUCGGAGGAAGGUGGGGAUGACGUCAAAUCAUCAUGCCCCUUAUGUCUUGGGCUUCACGCAUGCUACAAUGGCCGGUACAAUGGGUUGCGAUACUGUGAGGUGGAGCUAAUCCCUAAAAGCCGGUCUCAGUUCGGAUUGGGGUCUGCAACUCGACCCCAUGAAGUCGGAGUCGCUAGUAAUCGCAGAUCAGCAACGCUGCGGUGAAUACGUUCCCGGGCCUUGUACACACCGCCCGUCAAGUCACGAAAGUUGGUAACACCCGAAGCCGAUGGCCUAACCACCUUGUGUGGGGGGAGUCGUCGAA